rnacentral:rRNA from 1 species
GACGAACCGUGCGAACGUUGUUCGGAAUCACUGGGCUUAAAGGGCGCGUAGGCGGGCAAGCAAGUCUGGGGUGAAAUCUUUCGGCUUAACCGGAAAAGUGCCUUGGAUACUGCAUGUCUCGAGGGAGGUAGGGGCAGAUGGAACUUCCGGUGGAGCGGUGAAAUGCGUUGAUAUCGGAAGGAACGCCGGUGGCGAAAGCGAUCUGCUGGACCUCUUCUGACGCUGAGGCGCGAAAGCUAGGGGAGCAAACGGG